UACGUAGGGGUCUAGCGUUGUCCGGAUUUAUUGGGCGUAAAGAGCGCGUAGGCGGCCAGGUAGGUCGGUUGUGAAAACUGGAGGCUCAACCUUCAGAGGUCGACCGAAACCAUCUGGCUAGAGUCCGGGAGAGGAGAGUGGAAUUCCUGGUGUAGCGGUGAAAUGCGCAGAUAUCAGGAAGAACACCCGUGGCGAAAGCGGCUCUCUGGAACGGUACUGACGCUGAGACGCGAAAGCGUGGGGAGCGAACAGG
rnacentral:rRNA from 1 species